rnacentral:rRNA from 2 species
CUCAGGACGAACGCUGGCGGCGUGCCUAAUACAUGCAAGUCGAGCGAACAGAGAAGGAGCUUGCUCCUUCGACGUUAGCGGCGGACGGGUGAGUAACACGUGGGCAACCUACCCUAUAGUUUGGGAUAACUCCGGGAAACCGGGGCUAAUACCGAAUAAUUUGUUUCACCUCAUGGUGAAACACUGAAAGACGGUUUCGGCUGUCGCUAUAGGAUGGGCCCGCGGCGCAUUAGCUAGUUGGUGAGGUAACGGCUCACCAAGGCGACGAUGCGUAGCCGACCUGAGAGGGUGAUCGGCCACACUGGGACUGAGACACGGCCCAGA